rnacentral:rRNA from 1 species
UACGUUCCGGCCUUGUACACACCGCCCGUCACGUCACGAAAGUCGGUAACGCCCGAAGCCGGUGGCCCAACCCUUGUGGAGGGAGCCGUCGAAGGCGGGAUCGGCGAUUGGGACG